UACGAAAGGGGCUAGCGUUGUUCGGAAUUACUGGGCGUAAAGCGCGCGUAGGCGGGCUGUUAAGUCGAGGGUGAAAUCCCGGGGCUCAACCCCGGAACUGCCUUCGAUACUGGCAGCCUAGAGGUCGGGAGAGGUGAGUGGAAUGCCGAGUGUAGAGGUGAAAUUCGUAGAUAUUCGGCGGAACACCCGUGGCGAAGGCGGCUCACUGGCCCGAUACUGACGCUGAGGUGCGAAAGCGUGGGGAGCAAAUAGG
rnacentral:rRNA from 1 species